rnacentral:lncRNA from 1 species
UACAUAUACACCAUCAAAGUACUUAAUUAAAGUUGAUCAAACAUACAUCAUCAUCAAAGUACAUAAUAUCAACAGAUCAAAUAUCAUUACAGAAUACAUCAAAAUUUUCUAAUGAAAGUAAACAAAUUGACAUCUAAAGAUAUUUUCUUCUGAUUCGUAACUAGUUCCUUCAUAUUGGUGGAGUUAAAUUUUGAGUGAAUUCUUGAGUUGGUUGUGCUGGCUAAGGGGAUUGGGGAUAUGGUGGUUGUGAUGUUCGAGGGGAUUGAGGACUUGGUUGUUGUAAUGGUAGAGGUGAUUGAGUACUUGUUAGUGGCUCUGAUGAUAAAGGGGAUUGGGUACUUGGUGGCCCAUCAUUUCAUGAGAUAAAGUAUGACCUCCUCUAGCAUAGUGAUAAUUGGUUUUCCUCUAACAUGAACCAUAAGACUGUUGAAAGCUUCACUCGUGUUGUUAUCAAGGGUAUCACACACUACUUGAGUUGUGAACUGAGAUCUUGACCAAUACCUGUUGCACAAAAAUUUAGAAAAUGGGUUACCAUACAUAAUUGACUAAAAUGUGCAUGUAAGGGAAAAAUUGUACCUGAGGGGAAUAACUAUGAGGCAUUUAUAUGCUUCUACAUUUACUUCUCUAAUAUUCAACAUUUCUCUUUUCCAAGCCCGGGGGUACGUGUUUCAGGCAGCCCUCCAUAUCAGAUUCUUCAAUAUUUGACCAGAAAACAUUUUCCUAAAGUUUGCAUAGAGGUGCCUUAUGUAUAAUCUUUGUUUUGCCCCAAGCAAAAGUUCUUGGAUAGCUGACAUCAACCCCUGUCCAUAUCAAUUUAUUAAUCAAACAUACAUUAUUUACAAAGCAUGUAGUAUAAUGUUAAAUUGCCUGGUAAGUAUGAGCAUCAACUAUUUUCCUUAAUUGCCAAAGUUUGCGUGAUGGCAAAUAGCCAUAGUAAGCUACCCACGGACACUUACGUUGGCCACCCAUGCAUUUAACCAUCACCCUACGCUUAUCAUUUUUGACAAACUUCAGAGCCCUCCCAGCAUGAACAACAUAACUUCUAAUAGCCUCCUUAAACUCAUCUUUAUCUGUAAAUGUAGUCCCAACUUCCCAUUUGUAAUUUCCCAUUGACUUUUGUUGUCUAUAUGUAGGAAAAGAACCACAACUUGGUCUAUCUUCACUGUCAUCCUCCUCACUUGCACUGUUUUUUGGAGUUAACAUCACAUCAAAAUCCCAUUCAUCAUCUAACAACCCGCUAUCAUGUCCUUUUGGUUCAUUAUCAUUGUCUUCAGCUUAUAUUCUUCAUCACUUUCAUCCAAAUCAAUACCAACAUCUUCUGCCUCCUCCACAUACUCAUCACCAUUAAGAUGAUCCAUAUGUGCUUCAUCUGCCUAGUUCCACUUCUUCCUCACUGUCCACACUACCAUCUGUCUCCACCUCCACUCCACCCUCUCUCUCCACCUUCAUUUCACCCUCUGUCUCCACCUUCACUUCACCCUCUGUCUCCACCUCUAGUCCACUCUCUCUUUCAACCUCCACUCCACCAUCUGUCUCUAGCAACUCACCCUGCUCCACAUACUCACCCUCAGUCACUAAGUCACCACCAUUUUGCACGUCCACCUUACCCUCUGUGUGCAGUCCCACUUUAGCACAAUCAAUUGCUCCUUCCUCAACCUCCUUUUGUAGUUCAACUUGUUCCUCCACAUUUCCUUCAUCACCAACCUUAACAUGUGCCAAACCUCUGACCCCACACACUACACAAGUCCUUUACAAGAGAUGAAGAAUUUGAUUGACAUCGUUUCCUACAACCUUUGGCUCGUUCACUCCAUGUACAACAAUCAAGUUUAAUUUCCCUAAAUAUUUUGCCACUUUAAUCAUAUUCAUUACACCUCUGUCAUCAUAAAGUUUAUGUAACAUAUGUUAUAUACUGUAAAAUAACUCUUUUAC